rnacentral:lncRNA from 1 species
AAAAACCCAUACCGCAUGGUCAGGUAUAUAUUAACCGGAAAUGACACAUGUUAAAAUAUCCAAACGAGAAAACUAACGGUCGGAUUCAUGUUCAAAAUAAUGAACGAUAAACAAAUAUAAAAUGUGCUGUAAUUGUCAAUACGACAUCUAUUCACCGGCGACCAACGGAUAAACAAUGAACAAAACUAAUUCCGUUUCUUUCGCCAUGUAAGCUCUAAAAGGAC